AGCUGCGGUGUCCGAGUGGUUAAGGAGAUGGACUUGAAAUCCAUUGGGUUCUACCCGCACAGGUUCGAAUCCUGUCCGCAGC
rnacentral:tRNA from 1 species